UGUUUGGUCCUGUUCUUCCAAUUUAUUUAACUAUGUUCAAAUCAACACUAGCUAUCAACAUGUUUUUCCUUAAUUCUAAUGUUUUUCUUAUUUAGGCAAUCUGUAGUACUGCAAAGAAAAUUUCCAAGCCAAUUAUUGCUGAGAAUGUUGCUAAGUAUAAACUUGAAUUAGUUGAAUUUAAAGCCCAAACAUUGGGAACCCUGCCGCCAACUUUUUAAGGAAUGAAAGUUUACACCACCAAUGAGAACGAGCUAAUCAUGGAGCCAUCUUUAAAAUGGGAUGGAAAUCCAAAUGUCAUUGUUGCAGUUAAAGCAUUUGGACUGAAAGCAACUGUUCAGGUUAUUGAUUUAUUUAAUGUCUCAUGAAGAUCAAUUCAAUAUUUAAUCUCUAUUGUAACAGAUGUUUGGAAUUCCUUGA